rnacentral:tRNA from 1 species
GCCAGUGUGGCGUAGUGGUUUGAAUGUUGGACUAUGACUCUGGUGACCAGGUUCAAUUCCCAGCUCAGCCA